CUCAUUUGCAAACUCUCUGAGGAUUUUGAUGCAGUGACAGCUGUCACUGUCAAACCCAGCCUCUAAGCUUUUCAGGAAGCAGCAGUUCUAACAUUUUGAUCAAGUCCUGUACAAAUACUUGAUCUUAAAUGAAUAUAUACAGGUAGAAGAUGUCAUGUUACAUGUAGAAGACUCCUUGGUCUCCUUGUUAGCUUACGGAAUGAAUGAAUUGCCACUCUGGAACAUUGAAAUCGCAUUUAAUCUUCAGAGUUCUAAAGCUACUCAAGCUGGAACCACAAGAUUCCAAAUGUUUAGGAAAAUUUGCAGCAUCAAUGUAAUAGGUACUGAGAGAAAAGAAAGAGAGGAGAGGCAAAACAACUGAAGGCAGAAGAAGAGAGAAGAGGAAGAAGCAGACUGCAAGCAUGAGGGAAGGGAAAUGCUAAGGAGAGGUUGAAAU
rnacentral:lncRNA from 1 species